AUUGAACGCUGGCGGCAGGCCUAACACAUGCAAGUCGAACGGUAACAGGAAGAAGCUUGCUUCUUUGCUGACGAGUGGCGGACGGGUGAGUAAUGUCUGGGAAACUGCCUGAUGGAGGGGGAUAACUACUGGAAACGGUAGCUAAUACCGCAUAACGUCGCAAGCCCAAAGAGGGGGACCUUCGGGCCUCUUGCCAUCGGAUGUUCCCAGAUGGGAUUAGCUAGUAGGUGGGGUAACGGCUCACCUAGGCGACGAUCCCUAGCUGGUCUGAGAGGAUGACCAGCCACACUGGAACUGAGACACGGUCCAGACUCCUACGGGAGGCAGCAGUGGGGAAUAUUGCACAAUGGGCGCAAGCCUGAUGCAGCCAUGCCGCGUGUAUGAAGAAGGCCUUCGGGUUGUAAAGUACUUUCAGCGGGGAGGAAGGGAGUAAAGUUAAUACCUUUACUCAUUGACGUUACCCGCAGAAGAAGCACCGGCUAACUCCGUG
rnacentral:rRNA from 1 species